rnacentral:rRNA from 1 species
CCUACGGGUGGCUGCAGUAGGGAAUCUUCCACAAUGGGCGAAAGCCUGAUGGAGCAACGCCGCGUGGGUGAAGAAGGUCUUCGGAUCGUAAAACCCUGUUGUUCGAGAAGCAAGUUCGCGAGAGUAACUGUUCACGUUUCGACGGUAUCUAACCAGAAAGCCACGGCUAACUACGUGCCAGCAGCCGCGGUAAUAAGUAGGUGGCAAGCGUUAACCGGAUUUAUGGGGCGUAAAGGGAACGCAGGCGGGCUUUUAAGUCUGAUGGGAAAGCCUUCGGCUUAACCGGAUGAGUGCAUUGGAAACUGGGGGACUUGAGUGCAGAAGAGGAGAGUGGAACUCCAUGUGUAGCGGUGAAAUGCGUAGAUAUAUGGAAGAACACCAGUGGCGAAGGCGGCUCUCUGGUCUGUAACUGACGCUGAGGUUCGAAAGCGUGGGUAGCAAACAGGAUUAGAUACCCGGGUAGUC